GCCACCUUCCCGCUGAAUCGCCGCCACAUAUCGCGGAGAUCGGGGGACCCAAAUCCCACAGUUGGGGCGAAUCGCGGGCCAUCCCGCGUAGCGCUAACCCUUUCGGCGCGAGCCCGUCAGCUAACCCCGUAAGCAGAAGAGAGGAUCC
rnacentral:sRNA from 2 species